GCCUCCAUAGCUCAGUUGGCUAGAGCAGCUGAUUUGUAAUCAGCAGGUCGUGGGUUCGAAUCCCUCUGGAGGCUCAA
rnacentral:tRNA from 1 species